rnacentral:rRNA from 1 species
CUCCCAUCCGUGUCUAUUGUACCCUGUUGCUUCGGCGGGCCCGCCGCUUGUCGGCCGCCGGGGGGGCGCCUCUGCCCCCCGGGCCCGUGCCCGCCGGAGACCCCAACACGAACACUGUCUGAAAGCGUGCAGUCUGAGUUGAUUGAAUGCAAUCAGUUAAAACUUUCAACAAUGGAUCUCUUGGUUCCGGCAUCGAUGAAGAACGCAGCGAAAUGCGAUAACUAAUGUGAAUUGCAGAAUUCAGUGAAUCAUCGAGUCUUUGAACGCACAUUGCGCCCCCUGGUAUUCCGGGGGGCAUGCCUGUCCGAGCGUCAUUGCUGCCCUCAAGCCCGGCUUGUGUGUUGGGUCGCCGUCCCCCUCUCCGGGGGGACGGGCCCGAAAGGCAGCGGCGGCACCGCGUCCGAUCCUCGAGCGUAUGGGGCUUUGUCACAUGCUCUGUAGGAUUGGCCGGCGCCUGCCGACGUUUUCCAACCAUUCUU